rnacentral:rRNA from 1 species
CGCCCUCCGACAAACUUAACAUGAAGGGUCCUGCCUGCCCAGUGACCAAGAGUUCAACGGCCGCGGUAUCUUAACCGUGCGAAGGUAGCAUAAUCAUUUGUCUCCUAAAUAGAGACUGGUAUGAACGGCGAGACGGAGCUUAACUGUCUCCUGCUCUUUCAUCUGAAUUUCACAUCCUCGUGAAGAGGCGGGGAAAAUUUCGCUAGACGAGAAGACCCUGUCGAGCUGUAGCAAAAAUCAGACUCUUCACUUGUUUCCCAUGAAAACUAAUUAUUGACGUUAGCUAAAAACGUAAACGUGAGAGUUCUGACAAAGCUUUGGUUGGGGCAACCACGGAGAAACAAAAUCCUCCGAUAGCAACGUUUUAACUUAAACCUAGAGAACACAACUCUACUCUAUCAUUUAUAUGAGCAAAGUGAUCCACCCAGGUGAUCAAAGGAAAAAGUUACCGCAGGGAUAACAGCGUUAUCUUUUCUGAGAGUCCGUAUUGACGAAAAGGUUUGCGACCUCGAUGUUGGAUCGGGACAUCCUAAGGGUGCAGAAGCUUUUAAGGGUUGGUCUGUUCGACCAUUAAAGUCCU